ACUAUUUUGGCAGAUAAUAUGCACUAAAUUUAGGAUUUAACUAUAUAGGAAUCUAUAAAUAGUA
rnacentral:tRNA from 1 species